UCCUGGAUAGCUCAGUCAGUAGAACAUGAGCCUCUUAAUCUCAGGGUUGUGGGUUCAAGCCCCACGUUGGGCA